GACGAACGCUGGCGGCGUGCCUAAUACAUGCAAGUCGAACGCAGAUGCGAACGGAUGAGUAACGCGUAGGUAACUGCCUCAUGGCGGGGGGUAACUAAUGGAAACGAUAGCUAAUACCGCAUACUGUGAGAUGGACCUGCGUUGUAUUAGCUAGUUGGUGAGGUAAAGGCGCACCAAGGUGCCGAUACAUAGCCGACCUGAGAGGGUGGUCGGCCACACUGGGACGGGGACCCGGCCCAUAGUGCUACGGGCGGCAGCAGGAGGGAAACUUCGGGCAUGGACGGAAGUUUGAGCGAGAUACGCCGCGUGAGUGAGGAGGGUUUUCGGGUCGUAAAGGUCUGUUGUUAGAGUAGCGGUAACUAACCAGAAAGGGACGGCUAACUACGUGCCAGCCGCCGCGGUAAUAC
rnacentral:rRNA from 1 species